UCUUGCACGUGGAGAGAGCUUACGAAGUACAAGACAUUUCAUCUUCUACUUCAGCUUCUCUGAGGCCAGGAAACACGUUAUUUAAACCUUAUCACUUUGGAUAUCGUUGUUUUCGUUAAGCCAAAUGUGUGUCCCUGCGAAACUGCGAACUCGAGUUGUUCGAGGCAGCAAUUUAAAUACGACGUCUAUGAUUGAUGGUUGUCAUUCUGUGACCAAUUUUCUCAAGGACAGCGUCAAGAAUAGAAGGAUAAAAAUCUGAAAUUAAGAAAUGAAAGAGAGGAAAGAGAAAAGGAUAACAUCAUAAAAGGCGGCGUGCUUAGGAUGGGAACAUAACGAGAUCUGGAAAUUCAAGCGAGCUGGGAAAGAAAAACAAGAUAACUUCUGGCAAGACUGAGUGGUGAAUAAUUCCGAUGCUUCGAGCAUGAUCCCAGCUAAAGACAAGAUUAAUAUAGAAGGGCAAAGCAGAUGCAAUGCAUUUUUCCCAAGAAUACGACGAGUCCGAGAAAAGACUCAUCUUCUAGAGCCGCUAUGACGUGAAGCAAAACCUAAGCAAAUGUCGUUUCGUGUUUUUUGGACGCUGGAAAAAAAAUCAACGUCGAGGACUGUUCAAACAUUCAAUUUUUCUUGCCUAAAGAAAGUGUACUUUAGGGUACGCAUGCUCAAUUUUCUUUAUUCAUUCUGGGAGUAACCUCUGUUCAAAUGGAUUAAAUUUUCCCGCCAAAAGACUUGGAAAAAAUACGGCGCUCACAAAUACGCAUGCGCCAUAUUUUUAAAAAUAUUGAUUCUGUAAGUAACUUCCGCUAAAAUGGGUUAAUUUUCCCGCCAAAAAACUUAGGAAAAAUACGGCGCCCAA